rnacentral:lncRNA from 1 species
AAAUACUUUACUAUUGACACAAGACUUUGUCAAAAGCUCAGCAGGCAUCCCAGCCUCAGUACAAAACUUUAAAAGGCAAAGCAAUUUUUUACUCGAGUCUGAUUCAAGCAGAAAAUUUUAAAGUUACAUGUGAUUACUCACAAUAGAGUAAGGGUACUCAAAAUACAACAUAACAACACGGCAAAGACUACAAGCAAUUGCCUACUGGCGGUCUGCAAAGGGAAGGGCCCACACGCAACGAAGCUGCGCAAAACAUAGCCAUAUCCAGGUCCU